rnacentral:rRNA from 1 species
GACGAACGCUGGCGGCGUGCUUAACACAUGCAAGUCGAACGAUGAACCGGAGCUUGCUCUGGGGAUUAGUGGCGAACGGGUGAGUAACACGUGGGCAACCUGCCCCAGACACCGGGAUAACCAUUCGAAAGGAUGGCUAAUACCGGAUACGACCACUUCGGGCAUCCGAUGGUGGUGGAAAGGAUUCUGGUCUGGGAUGGGCCCGCGGCCUAUCAGCUUGUUGGUGGGGUAAUGGCCUACCAAGGCGACGACGGGUAGCCGGCCUGAGAGGGCGACCGGCCACACUGGGACUGAGACACGGCCCAGACUCCUACGGGAGGCAGCAGUGGGGAAUAUUGCGCAAUGGGCGAAAGCCUGACGCAGCGACGCCGCGUGGGGGAUGAAGGUCUUCGGAUUGUAAACCCCUGUUGAGAGGGACGAAGGCUUUCGGGCAAACAGUCCGGAAGCUUGACGGUACCUCGAGAGGAAGCCCCGGCUAACUCUGUGCCAG